AGUGAACGCUGGCGGUAGGCCUAACACAUGCAAGUCGAACGGCAGCACAGUAAGAGCUUGCUCUUACGGGUGGCGAGUGGCGGACGGGUGAGGAAUACAUCGGAAUCUACUUUUUCGUGGGGGAUAACGUAGGGAAACUUACGCUAAUACCGCAUACGACCUACGGGUGAAAGCAGGGGAUCUUCGGACCUUGCGCGAUUGAAUGAGCCGAUGUCGGAUUAGCUAGUUGGCAGGGUAAAGGCCCACCAAGGCAACGAUCCGUAGCUGGCCUGAGAGGAUGAUCAGCCACACUGGAACUGAGACACGGUCCAGACUCCUACGGGAGGCAGCAGUGGGGAAUAUUGGACAAUGGGCGCAAGCCUGAUCCAGCAAUACCGCGUGGGUGAAGAAGGCCUUCGGGUUGUAAAGCCCUUUUGUUGGGAAAGAAAAGCAGCAGGUUAAUACCCCGCUGUUCUGACGGUACCCAAAGAAUAAGCACCGGCUAACUUCGUG
rnacentral:rRNA from 1 species